CUGAAUCGUGUUAUCAGAAUUCCGGUAGUUGGCAAGGUGCUAGAAACCCCUGUAACAGAGGAGAAAGAGGCAGAGUUACUCAAAAAGCUACGGUAUGACAGCAGAAUGGUCUUAUACUGCCACAACUGGACAUUUCUCCAAGGAUCAAUACUUUAACAUGGCAUAAAGGCAACAGGAUGGCCGAGAACUCCACUGAAGGUCACCUUGCUCCCAGACACUGAUGCAACUCUUUUCCAACUCAGCAAGAUGGAAGAAACGUGCUCAAGUAUGUGUAACGACUCUCUGGCAACCAUUUGCAGACUACCUAUUUGCAGCUGAUGACAUCUGUCCAAACCUUGCACUGUUUCAGAAGAACUCGAAAUUUAAAAAAGAACCUCACAACAUGCAGUAAUUCGGAAAGCUUAACAUGAAAUUUAGUUAGGGAAACAGGAUCUCUGCUGAAAUCCCAGAAUUAUUUAUCACAACCUAUCUCUCCUCCUGCUCUCAGUUUUUAUUAUCUCACUGAUUGGUCACUGAUACAUAAGGUGGUUUGCCAAGCAUAGUCAUAAUACUAUUUCCUCCCAGUCCAGCUCGUGAAAAAUGUAUGCUUUUAUUUAAAGCAACAUCAUGUUUAAUUUUGUGGCAAUAAAGGAGUUUUUUAUUGCAUUCUGA